UAUCUCUGUAGAGUCUGCAUAUCAAUAAGCGGAGGAAAAGAAACUAACUAGGAUUCCCUCAGUAACGGCGAGUGAAGCGGGAAGAGCUCAAAUUUGAAAUCUUCAAGGUUCUACCUUGACGAAUUGUAGUUUAAAGAAGUGUUUUCUGUUGGAGUUUUGGUAAAAGUUCUUUGGAAUAGGACAUCAUAGAGGGUGAGAAUCCCGUAUUUGACCAUUAUUUCCAGCUUUGUGAUACACUUUCAAAGAGUCGGAUUGUUUGGGAAUGCAGUCCAAAAUGGGUGGUAAAUUUCAUCUAAAGCUAAAUACUGGCGAGAGACCGAUAGCGAACAAGUACCGUGAGGGAAAGAUGAAAAGAACUUUGAAAAGAGAGUUAAACAGUACGUGAAAUUGUCAAAAGGGAAGCGUUUGACACCAGUGUUGUUUUCUCGAAAAUCGAUUAAAAAUGGCUUGAUUUUGUGUUGUAUUGACCUUAAAAGCUUUCUUCACUUUUUUCAUGUCUUUUUAAUGCACUUUUCGUUUAACAAGUCAACAUCGGUUUCUUUUGUUGUAAAAAGGUCAUUGGAAGGUGGCUUUCUUUUCGGAGAAAGUGUUUAUAGCCUUUGACUUCUGCAAUCGGAGAGACUGAGGUCUGCAGCGUAGAUCCUUCUGGAUCAGAUUCAUUUGUGCUAAGUUACAACCGUUUAUAGGCAACUUGUUGACUAUAUUCGAUCCUGUAGCUUACUCGCUUAUGUAAUUUUACCUACGCUUAGGAUGUUGACGAUCAGCUGAGCGC
rnacentral:rRNA from 1 species